UACAGAGUCAUUCUCAAGGGAAAAAGCUCCAGUGUGUCUGUGAGGAAGUAGAAGUCAGCCGAAGGAGAAAGUAGCUUCAGAUGACAAGAUCUUAAGUCUUAUUUCUUGACAUUUGGACAUGUCUCUGACUAAACCGGGGGUACACUGUACGACUUUUUUCACUUUUUUUGAGCCGAUUUUCCCCUCGUGCAAGAAUCUACAAGAUCAAGGCAAGUUUUGCGCUGAGAGUUAUGUAGUAUCCAGGGGGCUAUGAGAGGCACCACGUGACCAGCUACCGAUAAGCAAUCCUCCCGUAAAUCCCUGUGUGUUCUCCUACUGCAAUCCCGAAGGACAACAGACAUCAAUGACAACACAAUAAAGGUCUGGCGUGUUGUGUAAAAACUUUUAUUUUUAGAUCUGAUGUGUUUCUACCAGAUGUACAGUGUGAGCAGUCAGGUCACAACCGAGAACUGGGUCGUACAGUUUGAGCUGAAGCUGAAUGCUACGAUUAAAAAAGUUGCACAGUGUCUGUCUGGCUUAACAGCAAUGCGACUAAAGUCAUCAUUUGCAUUGUUUUACUGUGUGGGCGUCGGAACGAGCCCCUGCACUUUGAGAACAAACAUCUCAGCUCUAAAGCCGGUCUUAUCCGUGUAAGUCACACGUCACGUGAUCAGGAAGUAGAAAAUCCGUGCGUUAGGGGAUCGUUUUGGGCCGCUGCUGUAAAAAAAGUGAGGCGCAAAUCGGAAAAGCUUCUGCCGAUCUCAAUUCAAAAACGGAUUACGAAAAAACGGAUAAUGCUUGAAACGCGCGGAUUCUUCAUGAUGUAAGAGGCGAGUCUCCGCUUUGUUUUGUUAGUUUUGGGGUUGACAUCGUCAUAGAGCACAACGUUCUGGGAGUCUUAAAAAAAAUCAGUGAAAAUGCUGAAAAAUGCUGGCAGCGAAGUGCUUUUCUGCUCAGGAAACAGCUGGCAGUUAAUGAGUUAACUGUCAGCAUAACGUAGAUCUGUCGGGCUUUUCUGAACCGAACAGGGUUCUUUCUAUUUCCUAUCAGAAGGAGACUAUUCUUAUGUUCAGCCUGCAUGUUAAAUUCAGAGUGAAUUAUCAUUUUCUAAAAUAAUGAGUAAAAAGGGUUUCUCAGUGAACCUGGCCUUUAACAAAUCUCAAAACCAACACAAAUCAUGAAACUAAUAACCAUAAAAGUCUAAAGAUAGUGGGAGUGAAGCAUUACACAAUGGUGUUAAAAGGCAAACCAUGUCAAGUUCUAAUUCAUGUCAGCCCAUCAAAUGGAUGUAGAUGCCUCACAUUAAGAGCAGGGGUGGUCCACCAGGUCGUAAACUUUAAACUGUAAACAAAUCCCCGGAGGAUCAAAAAAACAAAAGCAGGCCUGGAAAGGAAUCUCUAAAAUCAACCAACCAUCCACAACAGUAAAAAUGACUGUCGAAUGAGAUUUACGGCCAAUUUUCUAUAUCUGAGCUCUUGACAGAUUUAUCUGUGCCACACCUCACAAACAGCAGCUCAGGACCUUUGGGUUUCCUGAAGCACUGGUGAGGUAUUUAGACAAUGCAAGUUUCCAAGAUCGUACAGACAACAUACUUCAGAAGUAAGCAGCUGUGACUUCAGCUCUCUGAAUGAAACAAAGUCUCUGGUUUCACUGGGAAGGAGCUGAAGCAAACAGAGUUCAAGUUGAAGGCGUAAAGGCAGAUAAAGACAAACGAGGCUAGUUGGAAGGGGCAGAAAUUGUUUUUAAAAAGCUCAAGGUGGCAGAGACAGAACAGGGUCUGUCUGAGUCUUCCACCUUGAAAACACCUGUCUCACAGUGGAGAAUACAUCAACAUCUGUUUUAAAAGCUCUCUACUCUAGAUUUGAAUAAUUAUUUUCCUUGCUCUAGAUUUAAAGUUCUGUUCCUGGAUGAAAAACUGGAAAAAGGUUUUCAGAUCAGAACAUUAAGAGACCAUAACAAAAUAUGAGUUGGAGUAAAAGGAUUGUAUUAACCUUCAAAUUUAUAUAUACGAAAAUUGGGUGCAACUAGUUUGAUUCACUGUCCCACAAACCCAGCGUAAACACAGAGUUUCAAAACUCGGGCUGUACCUCUGGACUUGUUUUGUUCCCCCACUGCCUCUUUGUUGUCGAUUUCCAGUCUGCAUGUGAGAUAACACAUCUUUAUCUCUGUGCAUUCCCAAGAAAAAGACCUCUGCUUACAUCUCAGAAGGAAAAUUAGCUGUUUGUUUGGCUGAGAAGUGGUGCAGAUGGGACUAAAAAAGGCACCGGGAGGAGACGUGACCCUACAAAAUUCUUGUUCUCAUAACGCUGUGAUUAGGAGAGGCUGUGGGAGUGGGCGGAAAAAAUUCUAUGGCAAACAUGGACUUGACUCUUUGCAUGGGGCAAAGCCUACAGCCAUACCCAACUCAGGCUAAAUCCGAGCUGUGCGGCUACUGACAACACACACCGCACAUUCUCAUAUCAGAGGUCUCAAUAUGCAGGAUAUAAAAGUGGGGUUAGUUGGGCAGUUUGUGACUAAACUUACAAAACCUCAGUAAAUAAGACCAGAUAUUAAGGUAUGAUGGACUGUGAGACCUCAGCAAAGACUGGCGAACAAAGUUUGUGGGGGAAAAGUCACAAUGAUAUGAGCAUUACUGGAAGAACAGCAUGAUCAUUUCUGCUGAGUUACACAUAAUUGUUAGCAUGAGUACAAUGAGCCAGUAUAAUAAUUGGCUCUGCAAUUAUCAGCCCUAAGCUACAAACCUAUCUGCUCAAUUUCACUUCACAGGGCUCAAGGUCAUCGAUUCAACCGGUUAAAUAAAGUGCAGAAUCGGUUCCUGAAGCAUGCUGCUGGCAUAGUGAACUUUGUCACACCAGCAGGAUGGUCUGAUAUUGUUGCAGUUAGUCAGCUGCUCUCCAACAACACUGACCUGUCACAUGCCACUGACUUUGCCUGGGGUUAAGUGGGCAAACCGGGCCACUAAUGAGCACAUACAGUAACUGCCAAGAACUACAUAUGGUGAAAAAUGGCCACUAGAAUGUUUUCUUUAUCGCUGACAGGAAUUAUUUAUGGUAACUUUAACCUAAUGAGUCUUAUGAAAUGUUAUAAUGUUAUAGAUUAAAAGCUUUAGGAAUCACACAAAAGAGUGUUUAAUACUUUAAUCAGAUUAUAGAAAAGUAGCUGCUUCUAUUCAAAUUUGUUAUAUAACAAAAACACAAAACUAAUUAAGUUUAGCAUGCACCUUUCCAUAAGGAAUGUUACUAGCUAAUGCAACUGGUUUUUACCCUCUGAUCAAAGGUCUUUGAGCUGCAGUCCUAACAGCUGCUGUGUAGCUGGGUAGACUAUGCAUAUCAUAUCUAACAGAUUCCUGUGACAAAUCACAGUCAACUCCCUUUACAUACCAAACACUGUACUGGGUGUAUCAGGAAAGCGAUGCUUUUACUGCCUUAAGGUAAACUUUCCGUGCUCUAAUUUUUCUUUUUUCACUACAGAAAGUCAGAGGAAAUGUUCUUUUUAUGGUCGAACAUGAAGAAAAACAUAAAUACUGAUUUCAAAGGCUGAUUUAAAUGUUUAUUACUAAAAACUUUUCUGAAGGAAGCAGCCAUGUGCAUCAAAUGUCUUUUUUAUACAAGCUAUACUUCUUUUGCUCAUUAAAGUUGUUGUUUUAUAGAAAUAACUAGAUGAAAUGCCGAUGCACUGCCUGGUCUGAGCUCAACUGCCUUAGGCUUGGUGGGGUAUAUGCUGGCAGCACAGGAAGUGGUGGCUGAAUAUUUUGAAUAGUUUAGUAUAGAGUUUUCUGGCUGACCCCUUUGUGGACCAGAGCUAGAGGUGGCAAAGUGGCAGAGGGGAAACACACACAGGCUGCAGCCGGAAAAAGGAAACAAUACAGCUGAGCUGAUGAAUAAUUAAAAAGAGCUUGGUUACAUUAAUUGGUGCAAAAGCAUAAAUAACAGAGUCUGAUAUUAGGAAAAAGGGGAGAAAAGUCUUUUCAGUAAACUGCUAACCCAUCAGCUGUGUUCAGUCACAUUAAAGCAUAGAAGGAUGUUUCUGCUGACGUAUUCUAACAAGUUAUAACAGAAAGGAAAAAAGUACAAAGGCAUAACAGAGUGAAGAAUCAGUACGAACCAGUCAUCCCACAUCACUGAAGUGCUGACUGGGAGGCCAACUUGUCCCAGUUUGAUUAAAAGCUUUUUAAUUGUACUACAGAAGCCUAACAUGGUCAAUGCUCCCAUUUAAACCGAAAAGAUCCUGUAAUUGACAUAAUAGAAGUAGAAAGUGGCGAUUAAAGACACUAGUGUUUUUCCAGAGGAAGUCCAGAGAGCUGCCACUGUCGACUGAUUUUCAACAUUAUAAAGCAAAAUGAAUCGCUUUUUUCUCACAGUUCUUAGCAAGAACGGAAAUAUUUUCUGACAUAUGAGUUUAGGUAACAAAUCAAGAUGUACCAUCUGCUCGACACGACUGUUUCACACGCCUGAAUAAACUGUUAUCAGUCUACCGUGCCACAAUGACUCACGUCCGUUUCCUUUCGAAAGUCUGCUCAUUGUACAUCGGAGGAUGUGCAGAGAUGGUAGUUCAGUGCUAACAAGAGGACUAACUUUGCUUGAGAAACAGAAGAGGAAGAUGGUGAGAGUGGAAAUGUUUGACAGAAAAGCUGAGAAGGAAGCAGAGGUUCUUACAAACCUGCACAUUUCUCGACUGAAACCACUGUGGGGACAAAAUUGUUUGCUGGAUGUUACACAUAAGUAAUUAUUGCAUUAUUUUAAUGGUUGAAAUCUUGUGAGGAAAAUAAUCUAAGCUAACUCCCAAAUUAAUUUUAAGUAAUUUUCAACUAAGUUUUGCAAAGGUUUCUAAGGCUGAAAAAGCUUUUUGCAUUAAUACGGCACAAAUCCACUUCAUAGCUCCCUACACAGUCCAACUUUGUCAUACCACAAUACACAGAGAACCAGUGAAAAGACGAUAGCUCUUGGGCACCAGUGAGCUACAUAAGCUGACGAGGAAGAGCCUGGAGAGAGGAUGAAUGACUCAAGUCCAGCUGCCUGCCAUCCUUUCCUCACAUCCUCAUUACUCACAAUGCAGACACGAACUCUGUGCGGCCCUAGGCACUGAAACCUGGUUGUUCAAUGUUUGUAGGAGUCCAAAUUAACACACAAUUUUAACAGUUUCUGGUUAGCUUAUUUAGAGCUGACAACGUUUAUGGUAUACACCACAGAGUCCCAGCCUUGAAGGUCUUCCUCUGUUAAAAAAAAAAAAAACUAGAUUUUUUUUAACACAUAACCAAAAAAGCUGUGAUAUUUGGCCCAUGUGUACAUGCUGAAACUGUGACAUUUAACCCUCCACAGAAACAGUCCAUUAGUUGACUCAGAAUAGCUUUUUCUCUUUUUCAUUUCCUUAAUUUUGCAUCACCAUGCUUACUUUACGGUAAACCCAAAGACUGAAAAUAAAUAACUCGAAAAUAACUUUUCUGAGGAAGUCAACUUAAAGUGAAUAAAAAGGCUUGGUUUCAGAGAAGGAGUGCUGUCCUAAUGUCAGUAAGGUCCAUGUGAUGUUGGUCUAACCACACAGUAAAUGUUUUUUUUUAACAUUUUACCUUAAUUUACUUGAAUUUCAGAAAGCGCUGAACACAGGAUGUGUCAUGCUAAUUAAGAGCAGAGUAGCAAAAUAAUCUAAACAUGCUGCCGUAGCUGUGUUAACCAACUUGAAUUUAUACAAAAUAUUAUCUUUAAUAAGCUUUGAUUAUUUUCCACAAUAUUAAAAUAAUGCUAUUUUGCGAUGUGCCAUGCCUGAAAUUCCAGCACCAUGCCUACGAGAUUCACCCCUUCCUAAUUUUUUAUUGGGUUAAAAUAAAUUGUGGAUGAGGAACACGCAUGGAUGACUGAGACCUUCAGUAUUGUGGUUCUACCUAGAUGCUGUUUGUACACAUGGUCAGAGCUGUUCUUAAUUCUUUUAUUUAGAAACAUUUCCACACACAAGCACUAAACGGUAAAUACUACACAAUGUAUAAAAUUGUUCGUACACACAAAACACACACAGAUCUGUGCUAAAGUACGGUUGAUAAAUGAGGGCCCUGGACGUUUAAAAGAAAAUCUUUGGAUUCAAAAGCUGAAACAUGUCUGAUUAACAACACAAUUCCAACUGAAAACUAUGGCUUUUGAAAAGAAGUGGAGCCCAGUCAAGGACCUUUUCAGAUGAGAUACAAGCUUAUGCCUAAUUGAUUUAAUUAACCAUGAUACAUUUAGUUAUUAUUAUUAUUAUUAUUAAUGUUUUAUUAUUAUUAAAAACUAUUAUUUUCUUCUUUCUUUGUAAAGUGUACGCCUUUGUUAUAUUUAUGGCUGGUAUUUGAAGUGUGUGGAGCCCAGUCUCAGGACAAAAUCAUUGUUAUGUAUUUCUAUUCUUUAUUGUUGGAACAAUAAAGUUAAAAAGAGACGAUCUUUAGUUCAAUGAGAAUAAGCAUAAUACUGUUUAAACAGAAGUUUCAUAUGCUGAUUUAAUUUUUAAAAAAUCAGCAUUUGAUCAAUCUAUCCUAUCAAUUAAUCAAUCACCAUGGUCCUGGAGAUCUUCAAUUCAGCAUGUUUUAGUUGAUUCCCUGUUCCAACACACCUGAUUGAAUGGCUAAAUUACAUGUUUAGCAGCUCAUCAAGCUUUCCAGAAGCAUGUUAAUCAGCACGGAUUCCAUUCAGGUGUGUUGAAACUGGGAAAACACUCAAACCUGCUGGAUAGCUGAUCUUGAGAACCAGGGUUGGGAACACCUGGUUUAAUGGAUAAAAUCUUGAACCAAAUGCUGUGCCCAACCACUGAAACACUACAAAACCCUUUAGUUAAGCAUAGAUUCUCUAUGCUGUGUGUAACGAGUAGAAACACAACAGAGAGCCUUUGCUCACAAGGAAUUUUUGUAAAUGAGUUUGUGCAUACUUACCGCACUAUAACCACUCUGAAGAGGGGACUAACCUGUUCUCUACAAAGAGCAUUUUGGAAAGAGAACAACACCAAGGACUUGCUGUUCUCAUUCCUAGAACAACUCGUAACAAAAUAUAUGAUUAAAUUAGCCUUGAUUAAAACAAAAACUAAGUUAGCCAUUACAGGCUACUAGUAGCACAUGCGUUUAAAUGCCUCUGCAGUCACCCUAAUUGGCAGUGAUCCCCUGACACCACCACAAUGAGAUAACAAGGAGUGUCCAGUAAUGCCAACUAAUUAUUUUUCUUGCAGCACUCAAGCCUUUUCAGAUUUCUUUUAGUUAGAAGGCAAACCUGUUCUGCUCUCCCCACCUAGUCCGCCUUCCCCAGCAUCCACUGAUUUCCCUCUUUCCUAUUCACUCUCAUUGCAUUUUUAAUCACAAGUGUCCAUUUUUGCUUAUUUUAAACAUAUUUUAAUCAUUUUCUAAAAUCUUUUUUAUAUUUUAAAUUUUUUUGUUUUAUGAAGCGCCUCAUGAUUUUCAUCUUGAGAGGCGCUAUAGAAAAGAUUGUUCUCUUUCUUUCUUUCUUUCUUUCAAACUUGAAAGACAUUUUUAACCACUUAAAAACUGUAUUUCAUUUUUUUUAAGCAGUGCUGUCUUGGUGAAAAUCAAUAAAAUGGUUGGAAACCAGUAAAGAACACUGCAGAAGGAAGUUCUGGUAAACAUAAUUGAUAGCUGCUAAAUCUGGUCAGCUAUGAUGUUUGCAGAAAAUGCUGCUGGUUGUUUAAGCAUAAAGCAAAGGGUUGUCCAAGCAAAAAAUAAAUAGCAGCUUCAAUAAUCACUUAUAUCUGAACAAUGUGAAUGAAAUACAUAAAACAUGGUUGUUCAUCUAGUUUUCAAUGUCUUCUAAACCACACACACAUUGGUGUGGUCACCACACAAUUACAUUUCCCGAUUUGUCUCCUUUUCUCCCUUAGCCUCAUUUUUUAAAAUCUAGGCCAUUAUUUGGUGCCUCUCUUUUCUCAUCUCCAAGACAGCACAUACUGUAAUUACCUUUUCACUAGAAAAUACUCAUGAAGUACUUAAUCCUCAGACCUUAGAGCUAUUCACAAAUGGUGAAAAGAUUUCAAAUAUAAUCAGAUAAACUGUUUGGACAUGGAAAGCUGUCACCUUCACCAAGUUGAGCUGAGCUGAGCUAGCAGAACUUGCAGAUGAAACAGCAGCUCUCCAAACUUUUCAUCAAAUUCAAAGUUCAACCUGUGCUACCUUCCUUCUUGUAAGAGUGGUGCACAAUAAGUCAAAGCAAUAUGUGCAAUCCACGCAAAAGCAGCUUAUGGAGCAAAAAAAUGACGUUGUUAAACAAAGAAAUGAGACCCUACAUAGCAUGCAAUGAGGCUGAAAUGUUUACAGCAGAAACUAGGGGUCAGGAUCUAUAUGUGUGCAUAAUAAAUGUCUUUAACAAACCCUAGCACAGCAUCUUACUUAUUAUGAAUAAGGGUGGUCUCCAAGUUGUCAAGAAACAAGAAAAAAGGUCUCAUUUAUGAUCAUCAAGAACGUAAAUCUCUAAUAACAACACAGAACAAUUUGUUCUUGAAAACUGCACUAAACACAUAACUGCAUUUGACCCAAAUGUAGGGCUGUACAAUGACUAAAACAAAUGUCAAUGCAAGAAACUUUAAGCUAGGCCUCAGGCCACAGCAUGAAAAUUAUGCCAAAACGUCAACUUCCCACAUGCAUGUCAGAUCUUCCAAAACGAUGGUUCACUUAGGACAAACUGUACAAAAGUGCUCUUCAGACCUUAGAGCUAUUCACAUCUAUUCAAAUGACAGGCAAAAUAAUGCUUCAAACUGAUCCUAGUCAUCUAAGAAUCAUUAAAGCUUAAAAUUCAAGACAAGUACUAGGCUCCAGCUAAUCUUCAAGUCAAUCCAGUGGUAGUGAAUUAGUGCUGGCAGCUGUUUUAAAGGCUGCUGUCAGCAUUAAAAGGUUGGCUUUUCUUUUAUUCUUUCAUCCAACCUGGAUGAGCAGUUGAAUUAGUGCCUAUCGACCGGAUCUCACCUUUCCCAGUUGCUAAAGAGGCAAUUAACACGUAAUGAAAAUUUCCGGCAAUACGAAAUUUUAGCCAUUAACCAAAUGCUUCAUUGCGCUACAUGUUUACAGUAAGUGACAUUUGUCAAACUUUCCAAGGACCCAAGUUGCUACAACCUAGUGACAUCAUUUGCGGGCUAUCUGAUAAAUCCAAGAAUUUUUGGCAUCCGGUUUGUUUUCUUUUGUUGACCCACGCUCAUUGACUUGUUUGCUGAUAAGAAGGGCAGUCUUUUCAUGUGCUGGAAACAAACUUAUAUGCCUCUGACCACAAUGUGAUUGCUUCAAACCACCAUAAAAAGAGGAAAAAGUCAUCUUUACUCAGUCUGGCAUUUCCUAAUCGGUCUACCCAUAUUAUAUGCUCACACUUGUGACUCAGUAGUGACAGAAUGGAGGGUCAGUUUGCCAACUUUUAUCAUUCUGCGAUAAUCAACUGUUGCUUCAUUUGUUAUGUUGGUUAGGAAAUAAACCUAGACAAAGUGUAGGCAGCUUGUCAGACCAAUGUUUGUGAUUGACACGAACGUGUGACACCACAAGGACAACUGUUUCUUCAGAAGACAAAACAAAGGUCAUCAUUGUAACAAACAUGUAGCAAAAGUCCAUUUGAAAUAGGACCACCUAUCAACAUGCCACUAAGCUAACUAGUUUUGUUUCUGCACUACCAUCACUUGAUUAAAUUUAGGAAUUAAAAACGCUUUACCCUUGAACUGAUUUUUCUUUUGUAGGCUGAUUUCAAAAGGCUCCAAAUACUCACGUGUCUAAUUAUGUGACUGCUCUAAUUUUAGGUGCCAAAAACUACUUUCCAUAACACUAUCUUGGGACAUCAGUCAUGAACAACUAAAGAACGGUAAUUUAAAAUAUUAUUAAGCCCACAGGUGCAAACAAUUAUACAAUCAGCCUUAUAAUUAUAAAAGCUUAAGAUUCACGUGCAACUACAGCUAGCAACAUGUCAACUUCUCACACCAAUUUUCAAUCAGCGUCAUUGGGAAAGGUUCUGUACUUUAGUCAAAAAGAAAAGGUCAAAGGACAGCAAAAAAAAAAGCAUUUUAGAGAGAACAUGUUUGAUGAAAGGAAGAGCCUCAAGCCAAAAAGGCAGCUAAAUGUUCGUCAGGCACAGGACAGGUUUGUGAGUGCUGAGUCACUCCGGCUUUGACAGAUUUGUAAAAAUCAAAUAUACGUACAAAAUGUGCCAUCUAUUCAGAUUUACUUUGCACUACUGGUCAAGAAUUUAUCAGAUUAUUAUUAAUCUACUUUAUCUUUUUGGAAAUUAAAUGAGACAAAUUUUGUCUAAAAAAUUAGCUUUAAGUAGUAUUUUUUUCUUAAUAAAUACAUGACCCAACACUGCUAGGCUAAAUGAGAAAAUAAAAUAAUCAUUUAUAAAACAAUAAUUAUCACAUUUCAUUGAGCAGAUAAAAUAAAAAGUCUGGAAAGGAGAAUCAAGCAGAAAGCCAAGCUUUCCAACUAAUGAAAACCAAUUUGUCCCAGAGGCUGCUUCAUCACUUUACUUGGCAACAAAAGCCCACUGUGUACUGAACACAAAUGCUAACCAUUUCAAGCUGCAGGGAAAUCAUUGUUAUCUCACAACUCCGCCCCCACAAAGCAUUGUUCUACUUUUGUGAUGAACUCUAAUUCAAAACAGAACAAUGUAACUUGGAGCAGAUUCCUGAGAGACUCAGUCUGUACAAAGAACAAUGCUCCUCUGCCAAGAGGAGAAAGUUUAAAAAUCCAUGCCAAGUCAUGUACGGGUGUUUUCUUUGAUAGGUUAGGUCCUCAAAUACAUUUAGAACGGAGUUCUGAGUGAACAAGGCAUUUUAAUUACAGCUUACUAAAGUUAUAAUCAAGGCUCUGGCUGCCAAGUUGCCUAUGGGUUCCAAAAGCUAAAAGUUUUUGAGGUUUAAAGAUUUCUUUAUUAAAAAAUGCAGAUAAGACAAAAAUGAGAAGAUACAAGUAAUCAAAUGUUUUCAAAGUUGAGACAAUUAUUAAAACUGUGCAACCACAGACAUGCCCAAGCAUUGUAAAUACAAUCAGUGGCUAAAACGAUUCUACAGACUUUAAUAAACGUGGAUGCAGGAGGCAAAAUACUAUCACUGGGGAAAUGACUACAAUCAAUAUACAAUUCACACACUUUAUUUUAAUGAUCACAUAUCUCAUUAAAUUUGCUGUGGUCUCUUUAAGUCCUCUUCAGACAGGCCAUGAAAAACGGAAAUGUUCAGGACUCUGUCCAUAAGACCUUUGUGUCUGAAUACAAACAUCCGGAUAACGUUUUCCGUAAUUAAACCGGACAACGCCCCUAGUAACAGGUCAGGACUUGUUACGGACAAGGUGGCUGCUUCAGACUGAUGAGGUCGAGUUCCGGACAGGGAGGAGUGGGAGGAGGAGGGGACCGGGGGACGCUGUGCGCACCUAGAUAGCUUGCUCCUGUAGAAUGCGGCGAACCAUGGCAGCUCGCCUCCUACGGUACCGUCUAGGCGCGCGACGGAGCACUUCACACCGCUUCCGUGAUUCCUUUAACCAUUGAGCUUCACCAUCCAGGUCUCUUAUGCGUCUUCGUGUGCGCAGAAUUAUGCUUAACAUAAGUCCAAUCUCCCCCUCCCCGCCGGUCAGGUAAAAACUCUGCAUCGCAUUUGAAUUUAAAUCUGCCAUCGCUAUUGGCUAAGAGGUACACUAUGAUGUUAGAUAGUACAUUAUGAUGUCACAAUGUCGUGAGUGUGUGUAUUUGUUAGCGGCUCCACCCUCUCGGUCUGCAAGGCAACAGCAUUUGUUGCAAUUUUCAAACAGGAAGUGGGAGUUGAGUAAGAAUCUGGUAGGGGUGACUUGCUCUUUAAAUACCUCCAUCUGCUUCUGACUCAAAGAAAAGUCGACAUCUAAAUGGUCCAAAGUUGAUGCCAAAGUCGUUUCAAACAAGCCAUCCCAAUCUUAGUUUAGCUCCGUUGCAGUAACAUUCUGUCCACCAAAUAAAUAGAGAGCUGUGAUUGGACAGGCACCAGACUAUCCGGGUAUGCAAAGAUUCCAAUGGAGCGUAGCUAGACCAACAUGCAGAGCAAAAUAAUUUUGCUGCGGUAACUGAAGGUCUAGAUUCUAGGCUAGUGGUCUCUAGUAUGAAUUAAUGCCUUGAGGAUAAAAAUGGUUGCAUUUCCAUUUUAGGAAGUGGAAGUUAGCCAGAGAAGUGUGAGGCAGAAAACUGCAGGAUUUGGAGUCUUACUCAUUAUUAUUCAUGAUAUUAAACACCUUGCCUCUGAUUGGCUAAAAGCAAUGCAACUCUUCUGCUACCUCGUUUGCAUGGCACCGUUGAUAUUUCACCUCCACAAACAACACAAGCCUAAAUGAGUUGUUCACUUUGCACCUGCAUCAUACCAGAUGCAAAUUUUACAAAUUUAUCUAAAUGUGCUUCUUGUAUUUUAGCCCACACAGUUAAAUGGCCAACAAGUCAAAAAUUCAUCAGAUUAAUGAUCAAAUCAGCUUAAACUAAACAAACCCUUGUACCCUUCUGAGUUGAUUUAUAAUUUAUCAAGACAAAUUAGGUCGAUUACAGGGAUAAAGGCGGAUAAUAACCCCUCACAGGUGGACAACAAGUCAACACCAAGUUGAGCUUAUGUUUCAGCUCCAACCAUCCUCACGAGGCCUUGAGACUGUGAGCCAGAGCAGAAGGUAGCCAGCAUCCUGCUGAUUCAGUCUGGCCAUGUCAGUACUGCCACAGAGAGGAUUACAGAGUAGCAAUUGUUGCUGCAGGUGUGUGUGUGUGUGUGUGUGUGUGUGUGUGUGUGUGUGUGUGUGUGUGUGUGUGUGUGUGUGUGUGUGUGUGUGUG